rnacentral:lncRNA from 1 species
AACCUUCCAUUUUAGGGCGCAACAAGACAACUGUGGCUUUAGCAGCGAUGGUGUACCGUAGUAAGUUUGGUACAUCGGCCCGCAGGCACUCUUUCCUCGGCUUUUACCAAAAAAAUUUCCAUACAGUUAUUCGACCCUGGCACCAGUACCCGUGACAGUUAUUCAGGGUUUGCCGACCUCUGUGCCCAAUGCCUGGGUGUGCGAAACGAGGUCCGCGCAAAUGACAUCUGCACUUCGUGACGUCCUCAAGUUGCCGUAACAGCCGGGCCUCAACCACCAGUGCUAUGAACCAAUGACUUACCAUGUCAGCUGCUUGAUGGUUUGCAGCAACUGCUUUCACUGCUUCAGCCGUGUGUGCACAUUUGCCGUCCGAGAUCAAUGCACAAGUAAUCAGCUUGCGCCCUAACCUAACCCUCUUAACGGGAGGUUACUGCUGCUGCUGCUGCUGCUGUUACGUUAGCUGAUGAGCCCCCUUUCAUGACCCAUGCAUGAUGUUAACUCCCCCCUCUUUCGAAGUGAACCUGGCAUCCCGUGAGCUACGUCGUCGGCAGCCGGUAGGUGGCGCACUGCCGCGUUUUUCGCGUUGCACCUUCGUGGUGGUGGGGUGGUAGGGGUGGUCUUGGACUUCUUGCAAGAUAAACCGAUUUCCUCGGCGGCUAAAAGGGCAUCCUUAGCGCUGGUUUGGGAACGAAUCCUCGGGUACCUAUGGUAUCUUCCUCAGCUUCCUUCAGGGCCAACUUAAUCAAGUGUUGGCCGUAAGUGCAAGAGGUGCAUGGAAUCUGGGUCGUAAAAUGCUAUACACUGAGAGGGUUUGGUUUCCCAUCUUACACCCACUGCCAUUCUAGGGUUGUGGUCUCGGAUUUCGAGCUCGUCUUACUGCGUUCGGUCGAGAAGACACGCUCCCCAAGGCUGUGUAUCCAUACGAUCUGACCAAUUCGUUCCUUGCGCUUGAGGAAUGUGAUUGACAGAUGUGAUAACUAACUUGCCAUGGACCCGCCAACCAGCAACUCGUAUGUUUUUUUGUCGUUUUUCUGACUUUAACAAUUGUGUGCUAUCGGAGGCUAUGCGCACGCUUGGCUGUGUAAAGCCAACAGUGUUGUGCGGUUGGCGCUUGUGUAGGGCGUUGCAGAUGAGCCGUUCGGGCUUCAGUGUAAAUAGUAAUACUAUUACAAGAUUUUCUUACGUAACGAAACGUGCGUAAAAACAUUCGCGUUUGAGGCCUUGUUGGCCUAUCUAUAACUUGUUGGCCUAUCUCGGGCCGUAUUUUUGUUUUGGGCGAGACAAUACUAUGUUUACGGUGAAGAGACGAUUUCGUUGAACGGAUGAGCGCCUAGUCGGAACUGACCAGAACGGCCACAACUCAUGACUGAAAUGGGCAGCUGGUGUGCAACCACCUUCCGUUAUGAUGACAAAACGGUGUAAUUCUUACGAAGUUUAACUGUUCAUU